AGCGAACGUUAGCGGCGCGCCUAACACAUGCAAGUCGCACGAGAAACGGAGCAAUCCGCGGUACAGUGGCGCACGGGUGAGUAACACGUGGAUGACCUUCCCUGGAGUGGUGGAUAACCUGCCGAAAGGCGGGCUAAUACAGCAUGGGACCACGACGCUUUGGCGAUGUGGUGAAAGCGGGCCUCUAUAUAUAAGCUCGCGCUCCGGGACGGGUCCGCGUCCCAUCAGCUAGUUGGUGAGGUAACGGCUCACCAAGGCAACGACGGGUAGCUGGUCUGAGAGGAUGGCCAGCCACACUGGAACUGAGACACGGUCCAGACUCCUACGGGAGGCAGCAGUAGGGAAUCUUCCGCAAUGGACGAAAGUCUGACGGAGCAACGCCGCGUGAGUGAUGAAGGUUUUCGGAUCGUAAAACUCUGUUGUUAGGGAAGAACAAGUGCCGUUCGAAAGGGCGGCACCUUGACGGUACCUAACGAGAAAGCCACGGCUAACUACGUGCCAGCA
rnacentral:rRNA from 1 species